GGGUGCGAUCAUACCAGCACUAAUGCACCGGAUCCCAUCAGAACUCCGAAGUUAAGCGUGCUUGGGCGAGAGUAGUACUAGGAUGGUGACCCACUGGGAAGUAUUGAUCAGACC
rnacentral:rRNA from 1 species